rnacentral:rRNA from 1 species
CGCGAUUCGCCCUUGGGGUGCCCAGGCGCGAAAACUUUGCAAUAAGCGAAAGCUUGACAGGGCUAUCCCGAGUGCCAUCCGCUGAGGAAGGCUUUUACCCAGUCUAGAACGCUGGGGGAAUAAGGAGAGGGCAAGUCUGGUGUCAGCCGCCGCGGUAAUACCAGCUCUCCGAGUGGUGUGGAUGUUUAUUGGGCCUAAAGCAUCCGUAGCUGGCUAAAUUAGUCCCUUGUUAAAUCCACCGAAUUAAUCGUUGGAUUGCGGGGGAUACUGCUUGGCUAGGGGACGAAAGAGGCAGACGGUAUUUUCGGGGUAGGGGUGAAAUCCUAUAAUCCCGGGAGGACCACCAGUGGCGAAGGCUGUCUGCUAGAACGCGCCCGACGGUGAGGGAUGAAAGCUGGGGGAGCGAACCGGAUUAGAUACCCGGGUAGUCCCAGCUGUAAACGAUGCAGACUAGGUGUUUGGACGGCCACGUGCCGUUCUAGUGCCGCAGGGAAGCUGUUAAGUCUGCCGCCUGGGGAGUACGAUCGCAAGAUUGAAACUUAAAGGAAUUGGCGGGGGAGCAC